rnacentral:rRNA from 1 species
AGAUUAAGCCAUGCAUGUCUAAGUAUAAGCAAUUAUACGGCGAAACUGCGAAUGGCUCAUUACACAAGUUAUCGUUUAUUUGAUAGCACCUUACUACUUGGAUAACCGUGGUAAUUCUAGAGCUAAUACAUGCUAAAAAUCCCGACUCCGGAAGGGAUGUAUUUAUUAGAUUAAAAACCAAUGCCCUCUGGGCUCUCUGGUGAUUCAUGAUAACUUCGCGGAUCGCAUGGCCUUGCGCCGGCGAUGGCUCAUUCAAAUUUCUUCCCUAUCAACUUUCGAUGUUUGGGUAGUGGCCAAACAUGGUUGCAACGGGUAACGGAGGGUUAGGGCUCGACUCCGGAGAAGGAGCCUGAGAAACGGCUACUACAUCCAAGGAAGGCAGCAGGCGCGCAAAUUACCCAAUCCCGACACGGGGAGGUAGUGACAAUAAAUACUGAUACAGGGCUCUUUUGGGUCUUGUAAUUGGAAUGAGUACAAUUUAAAUCCCUUAACGAGGAACAAUUGGAGGGCAAGUCUGGUGAACGUCGCUGGCGCCAGAAAUAGCCACCCUCCGGUAAACAAGUGGCUAGUCGAGUGCUCGCGGCGCGGCGGGCGAGCACCGGCGAGACAACCUGGAUCGGGGAAGGCUAAGGGCCGUCGCGCCUAUGCUAAUCCCGAGCAGAGCCAGUCCCCUGGCCUGUGUAGAGCGCGCCAAGGUGUCGGUCCCGAGGUCCUCUCGGGGCUUAAGGUACGUGCCGAUCCCCUGCGAAAGCAGGGCCCUGCGGAGUAGCACCCGCCGUGCGAAGCCGCAGGGAGCCCCUCCGAACGGAGGGGCGGACAUCACGAAGUGGCCAGCAGCCGCGGUAAUUCCAGCUCCAAUAGCGUAUAUUAAAGUUGUUGUGGUUAAAAAGCUCGUAGUUGAACCUUGGGCCUGGCUGGCCGGUCCGCCUCACCGCGUGUACUGGUCCGGCCGGGCCUUUCCCUCUGUGGAACCCCAUGCCCUUCACUGGGUGUGGCGGGGAAACAGGACUUUUACUUUGAAAAAAUUAGAGUGCUCCAGGCAGGCCUAUGCUCGAAUACAUUAGCAUGGAAUAAUGAAAUAGGACGUGCGGUUCUAUUUUGUUGGUUUCUAGGACCGCCGUAAUGAUUAAUAGGGACAGUCGGGGGCAUCAGUAUUCAAUUGUCAGAGGUGAAAUUCUUGGAUUUAUUGAAGACUAACUACUGCGAAAGCAUUUGCCAAGGAUGUUUUCAUUAAUCAGGAACGAAAGUUAGGGGAUCGAAGACGAUCAGAUACCGUCGUAGUCUUAACCAUAAACUAUGCCGACUAGGGAUCGGACGAUGUUAUAUUUUGACUCGUUCGGCACCUUACGAGAAAUCAAAGUGCUUGGGCUCCAGGGGGAGUAUGGUCGCAAGGCUGAAA